rnacentral:rRNA from 1 species
GAUGAACGCUAGCGGCAGGCUUAAUACAUGCAAGUCGAGGGGCAGCACGAUAGCAAUAUUGGUGGCGACCGGCGCACGGGUGCGUAACGCGUAUACAAUCUACCUAAAACAGGGGGAUAGCCUGUCGAACGAGAGAUUAAUACCCCGUAACAUAUUUGAUGGCAUCAUUGAAUAUUGAAAGCUCCGGCGGUUUUAGAUCAGUAUGCGUCUGAUUAGCUGGUAGGUGAGGUAACGGCUAACCUAGGCGACGAUCAGUAGGGGAUCUGAGAGGACUACCCCCCAAACUGGUACUGAGACACGGACCAGACUCCUACGGGAGGCAGCAGUAAGGAAUAUUGGUCAAUGGAGGCAACUCUGAACCAGCCAUGCCGCGUGCAGGAAGACGGCCCUAUGGGUUGUAAACUGCUUUUGUACCAGAGAAAACCCCUUUACGUGUAGAGGGUUGAUAGUACGGUAAGAAUAAGCAUCGGCUAACUUCGUGCCAGCAGCCGCGGUAAGAC